rnacentral:rRNA from 1 species
AUUGAACGCUGGCGGAAUGCUUUACACAUGCAAGUCGAACGGCAGCACGGACUUCGGUCUGGUGGCGAGUGGCGAACGGGUGAGUAAUGUAUCGGAACGUGCCCAGUCGUGGGGGAUAACGUAGUGAAAAUUACGCUAAUACCGCAUACGAUCUAUGGAUGAAAGCGGGGGAUCGCAAGACCUCGCGCGAUUGGAGCGGCCGAUAUCAGAUUAGGUAGUUGGUGGGGUAAAGGCCCACCAAGCCAACGAUCUGUAGCUGGUCUGAGAGGACGACCAGCAACACUGGAACUGAGACACGGUCCAGGCGCCUACGGGAGGCAGCAGUGGGGAAUUUUGGACAAUGGGCGAAAGCCUGAUCCAGCCAUUCCGCGUGCAGGAUGAAGGCCCGCGGGUUGUAAACUGCUUUUGUACAGAACGAAAAGGUUUCUACUAAUACUAGGAGCUCAUGACGGUACUGUAAGAAUAAGCACCGGCUAACUACGUGCCAGCCGCCGCCGUAA